rnacentral:rRNA from 1 species
AUGGGCGUCGUGGAGUGGACGCGCGGGCCGGCCAUCGGCAGGGGCUCCUCGGCCACCGUGUCCGUCGCCGUCGACCGCCGCACCGGCGCCGUGCUCGCGGUCAAGUCCGUGGGCGCCGGCCGGGCCGCCGAGCUCCGGCGCGAGCGGGCCGUCCUCCGCGGCCUCAGCUCGCCCUACGUCGUGCGCUGCCUGGACGCCGAGGACGGGAGCGGCGGCGGCGGCCUCGACAUGCUCAUGGAGUACGCGCCGGGCGGGUCGCUGGCCGACGAGAUCAGGCGGUGCGGCGGCCGGUGCGCCGAGGGCCUCAUCCGGUCCCGCGCGCGCGACGUCCUGCGCGGGCUCGCGCACGUGCACGCCGCCGGCGUCGCCCACUGCGACGUCAAGGCCCGCAACGUGCUCAUCGGCGCCGACGGCCGCGCCCUGAUCGCCGACUUCGGAUGCGCGCGCCGGACGGGCAUUGCCGGCGAGGAGCCGCGGCCGACGGGCGGCACGCCCGUGUUCAUGGCGCCCGAGGCCGCGCGGGGCGAGGCGCAGGGCCCGCCCGCCGACAUAUGGGCGCUCGGCUGCACCGUCAUCGAGAUGGCCACCGGCGCCGGCCCGUGGCAGCGGUUCGCCACCCCCGUCGCGACGCUGCACCACGUCGCCUUCUCGGGCGAGGCGCCGGAGCUCCCGCCGUGCCUGUCGGACCAGGGCAAGGACUUCCUGGCGAGGUGUCUGCGGCAGGACCCCAGCGAGAGGUGGACGGCAGAGCAGCUGCUCGAUCACGAGUUCGUGGCCGUCGACGCCGCCGCCUCGACGUCCAAUUCCGUGCCAGGGGUCACCGAGAAGGCCACGUUCGUGUCCCCCAAGAGCGUGCUCGAUCAGGCCCUGUGGGAGGACGACGACGACGACACGGCGGCAGACACCGCCGAUCCCACGGACAGGGUGCGCGCGCUGGCCGCGGGCGCGCCGGCCGUGCCGGACUGGACCUGGGACGCGAGCUGGAUCACGGUCCACGCCGGCCCCAGCGUCGACGACGACACCGAACACGAGCCAGCAAUGCCGCCGGAGCAGCCGGAGGCGGGCACGGACACCGACGCCAGCGACUCACCCGCGGGCGGCGGCUCCGCCGGGGAGGCGGGGGCCUCGAGCAGCCAGCACGCCGCACAAGGCAACGGCGAUCGGUACGAUGGCACGGGCAGCUGUAACGGCGGGCGCAGCGAUGAUGGAAAUCACGUGGUUAGCGAUUGCAGUACCGUUCCAAUCACAAGCAACGGAUUCUUUUCCGAUCCCAUGUCAUGUUUCGCUUGUCCCAAGUCCCGCCCAAGCUGGCCGGCCCGGCCCGUUUAUUACAGCGCCACCAUGCCUACCUUUCUUCCUCCCGCGUCGCCAUUAUUGGCAGGAGUGGUGAGUACUCCGGCUCCGACUUAA